rnacentral:rRNA from 1 species
GGGCCCGCACAAGCGGUGGAGCAUGUGGUUUAAUUCGAUGAUACGCGAGGAACCUUACCAGGGCUUAAAUGUAAGUUGCAUAAGCUAGAGAUAGCUUUUUCUUCGGACUACUUACAAGGUGCUGCAUGGUUGUCGUCAGCUCGUGCCGUGAGGUGUCAGGUUAAGUCCUAUAACGAGCGCAACCCCUGUUGUUAGUUGCCAUCGAGUAAUGUUGGGUACUCUAGCGAGACUGCCGGUGCAAACCGUGAGGAAGGUGGGGAUGACGUCAAAUCAUCACGGCCCUUACGUCCUGGGCCACACACGUGCUACAAUGCUACGGACAAAGGGCAGCAAGUUCGCGAGGACAAGCAAAUCCCAUAAACCGUGGCUCAGUUCAGAUCGUAGGCUGCAACUCGCCUACGUG